rnacentral:rRNA from 1 species
GAUUAUGGCUCAGGAUGAACGCUAGCGGCAGGCUUAACACAUGCAAGUCGAGGGGCAUCGGGAGUAGCAAUACUGCCGGCGACCGGCGCAAGGGUGCGUAACGCGUGAGCAACAUGCCCGUAUCAGGGGGAUAAUCCAUGGAAACGUGGUCUAAUACCCCAUAGUAAUUAUGUAAGGCAUCUUAUAUAAUUUAAAGCUUUGGUGGAUACGGAUUGGCUCGCGUGACAUUAGCUGGAUGGUAAGGUAACGGCUUACCAUGGCUACGAUGUCUAGGGGUUCUGAGAGGAAGGUCCCCCACACUGGAACUGAGACACGGUCCAGACUCCUACGGGAGGCAGCAGUGAGGAAUAUUGGACAAUGGAUGGAAAUCUGAUCCAGCCAUGCCGCGUGCCAGGAAGACGGCCCUAUGGGUUGUAAACUGCUUUUGUAUGGGAGCAAUAAGGGCUACGUGUAGUCCGAUGAGAGUACCAUACGAAUAAGCACCGGCUAACUCCGUGCCAGCCGCUGC